GAAAGUGUCUUUCGGGAUGCGAGUAAAGUGGCGCACGGGUGAGUAACACGUAAGCAAUCUACCCUUAGGCCUGGGAUAACCCCGAGAAAUCGGGGCUAAUACCGGAUGAUGCAGCGGCACCGCAUGGUGAUGUUGUUAAAGUCUAUAUGGCGUCUAAGGAUGAGCUUGCGUCUGAUUAGCUUGUUGGUAAGGUAACGGCUUACCAAGGCUACGAUCAGUAGCUGGUCUGAGAGGAUGAUCAGCCACACUGGAACUGAGACACGGUCCAGACUCCUACGGGAGGCAGCAGUGAGGAAUAUUGGGCAAUGGGCGAAAGCCUGACCCAGCAACGCCGCGUGGAGGAUGAAUGUCGUAAGAUUGUAAACUCCUGUUAGAGGGGAAGAAUAAUCCCGAUCAAAUCGGGACUUGACUGUACCCUCAGAGAAAGCUCCGGCUAACUACGUGCCAGCAGCCGCGGUAAUACGUAGGGAGCAAGCGUUGUCCGGAUUUACUGGGUGUAAAGGGCGCGCAGGCGGGUCGGUAAGUCAGAGGUGAAAUCCUACAGCUCAACUGUAGAACUGCCUUUGAUACUGCUGAUCUUGAGUAUGGAAGAGAGAGACGGAAUUCCAGGUGUAGUGGUGAAAUACGUAGAUAUCUGGAAGAACACCAGUUGCGAAGGCGGUCUCUUGGUCCAAUACUGACGC
rnacentral:rRNA from 1 species